GGCCUGAUGGUCUAGAGGCAUGAUUCUCUCUUAGGGUCGGCGCAAGUCGACAAUUUGGGAGAGGUCCCGGGUUCAAUCCCCGGUUAGGCCC
rnacentral:tRNA from 1 species